rnacentral:rRNA from 1 species
GGGUCUUGCCCCUGUUGCGAGUGCGACGGGUAGUAAUCCAUCGGACCAUGUCCUGUAGUGGGGAUAGCCCGGCGAAAGCCGGAUUCAUCCCGCAUCCGUUCUCCGGAUGAAAGCGGGGGACCUUCGGGCCUCGCGCUUAUAGGGUUGGCCGAUGGCUGAUUAGCUAGUUGGUGGGGUAAAGGCCUACCAAGGCGUCGUUCAGUGGCUGGUCUCACGAGGCCGCCAAACCACACUAAAACUGCGCCGCGGCCCAGACUCCUACGGGAGGCAGCAGUGGGGAAUUUUGGUCAAUGGGCGGAAGCCUGAUCCAGCAAUGCCGCGUGUGUGAAGAAGGCCUUCGGGUUGUAAAGCACUUUUGUUCGGAAAGCCAUCCUUGAUUCUAAUAUAGCCGGGGGAUGGCGG